GCUCAACCGAGGAAGUGCUUCGAAAACUGGUAAACUUGAGUGCAGAAGAGGAAAGUGGAACUCUAUGUGUAGCGGUGGAAUGCGUAGAUAUAUGGAAGAACACCAGUGGCGAAGGCGGCUUUCUGGUCUGUAACUGACGCUGAGAUUCGAAAGCAUGGGUAGCAAACAGGAUUAGAUACCCUGGUAGUCCAUGCCGUAAACGAUGAGUGCUAAGUGUUGGAGGGUUUCCGCCCUUCAGUGCUGCAGCUAACGCAUUAAGCACUCCGCCUGGGGAGUACGACCGCAAGGUUGAAACUCAAAGGAAUUGACGGGGGCCCGCACGAGCGGUGGAGCAUGUGGUUUAAUUCGAAGCAACGCGAAGAACCUUACCAGGUCUUGACAUACCAUGAAAAGCUUAGAGAUAAGUCUUUCCCUUCGGGGACAUGGAUACAGGUGGUGCAUGGUUGUCGUCAGCUCGUGUCGUGAGAUGUUGGGUUAAGUCCCGCAACGAGCGCAACCCUUAUUAUCAGUUGCCAGCAUUCAGUUGGGCACUCUGGUGAGACUGCCGGUGACAAACCGGAGGAAGGUGGGGACGACGUCAAAUCAUCAUGCCCCUUAUGACCUGUGCUACACACGUGCUACAAUGGUCGGUACAACG
rnacentral:rRNA from 1 species